rnacentral:ncRNA from 1 species
UGAUAGAGGUGCGGGCUUCAUCAGUAUUUUUGCGGCUACAGCCGGACAACUGCUGCAAAGAGAAAGGGGAGACUGCCGAAGGAAGUGAGUCUGGUCCGGAUACGUUUCCUGGGAUACAGCAGAAUAUGCUGUGUACUGUCACAAUAGUGGAGCGCUAUC